rnacentral:rRNA from 1 species
GAUGAACGCUGGCGGCGUGCCUAAUACAUGCAAGUCGAGCGAACAGACGAGGAGCUUGCUCCUCUGACGUUAGCGGCGGACGGGUGAGUAACACGUGGAUAACCUACCUAUAAGACUGGGAUAACUUCGGGAAACCGGAGCUAAUACCGGAUAAUAUAUUGAACCGCAUGGUUCAAUAGUGAAAGACGGUUUUGCUGUCACUUAUAGAUGGAUCCGCGCCGCAUUAGCUAGUUGGUAAGGUAACGGCUUACCAAGGCAACGAUGCAUAGCCGACCUGAGAGGGUGAUCGGCCACACUGGAACUGAGACACGGUCCAGACUCCUACGGGAGGCAGCAGUAGGGAAUCUUCCGCAAUGGGCGAAAGCCUGACGGAGCAACGCCGCGUGAGUGAUGAAAGUCUUCGGAUCGUAAAACUCUGUUAUUAGGGAAGAACAAAUGUGUAAGUAACUAUGCACGUCUUGACGGUACCUAAUCAGAAAGCCACGGCUAACUACGUG